CUGGUAGUGGGGGACAACGUUUCGAAAGGAACGCUAAUACCGCAUACGUCCUACGGGAGAAAGCAGGGGACCUUCGGGCCUUGCGCUAUCAGAUGAGCCUAGGUCGGAUUAGCUAGUUGGUGGGGUAAUGGCUCACCAAGGCGACGAUCCGUAACUGGUCUGAGAGGAUGAUCAGUCACACUGGAACUGAGACACGGUCCAGACUCCUACGGGAGGCAGCAGUGGGGAAUAUUGGACAAUGGGCGAAAGCCUGAUCCAGCCAUGCCGCGUGUGUGAAGAAGGUCUUCGGAUUGUAAAGCACUUUAAGUUGGGAGGAAGGGCAGUAAGCGAAUACCUUGCUGUUUUGACGUUACCGACAGAAUAAGCACCGGCUAACUCUGUGCCAGCAGCCGCGGUAAUACAGAGGGUGCAAGCGUUAAUCGGAAUUACUGGGCGUAAAGCGCGCGUAGGUGGUUUGUUAAGUUGAAUGUGAAAGCCCCGGGCUCAACCUGGGAACUGCAUCCAAAACUGGCAAGCUAGAGUACAGUAGAGGGUGGUGGAAUUUCCUGUGUAGCGGUGAAAAUGCGUAGAUAUAGGAAGGAACACCAGUGGCGAAGGCGACCACCUGGACUGAUACUGACACUGAGGUGCGAAAGCGUGGGGAGCAAACAGGAUUAGAUACCCUGGUAGUCCACGCCGUAAACGAUGUCAACUAGCCGUUGGAAUCCUUGAGAUUUUAGUGGCGCAGCUAACGCAUUAAGUUGACCGCCUGGGGAGUACGGCCGCAAGGUUAAACUCAAAUGAAUUGACGGGGCCCGCACAAGCGGUGGAGCAUGUGUUACUUCGAAGCAACGCGGAAGACCCUUACUAGGUCUUUGACAUGCCAGAAGAACUUUCCAGAGAUGGGAAUGGCUGCCUUCGGAACCUUCUGGAACACAGGUGCUGCAUGCCUGUCGUCAGCUCUGUUCUGAGAAAUGUUGGAUUAGUUUCCGUUAACGAGCCAACUGGUCCUAGUACAGCCGUUAAUGUUGGACAACCCUCCUAG
rnacentral:rRNA from 1 species